AAGUUUUAAGAUUUUAGAAUGUCAAUUUGAAGGACUGAUUUAUAAUGAGAUUGAAAUUUUUAAUUCUGCAGGCUUGGUGUGUUAGCUUGAUUUAUUUUGGAGACUGAUUGAUCUGUGACCAUUAAUGGGGUUGAUCGAAUUUGAGUUAUUGAUAUUGGGAUUUUCA